rnacentral:rRNA from 1 species
UACGAAGGGAGCUAGCGUUGUUCGGAAUUACUGGGCGUAAAGGGCGCGUAGGCGGUCCGGCCAGUCAGAUGUGAAAGCCCUGGGCUUAACCCGGGAACUGCGUUUGAUACUGCCGGUCUUGAAUUCGGGAGAGGUGAGUGGAAUUCCCAGUGUAGAGGUGAAAUUCGUAGAGAUUGGGAAGAACACCCGUGGCGAAGGCGGCUCACUGGACCGACAUUGACGCUGAGGCGCGAAAGCGGGGGGAGCAAAC